CGAUCUGCUGCGGGCAGAUGAAGUGGAUGUGGCUGUCGAAGCCACCGGCCGUCAGGAUCUUGCCCUCGCCCGCGAUGACGUCGGUGCCCGGGCCGAUGAUGAUGGUCACGCCUGGCUGGAUGUCCGGGUUGCCCGCCUUGCCGAUGGCGGCGAUGCGACCGUCCUUCAGGCCCACGUCGGCCUUCACGAUGCCCCAGUGGUCGAGGAUCAGCGCGUUGGUGAUGACCGUGUCGACCGCGCCUUCCGCGUUGGUGCGCUGGCUCUGGCCCAUGCCGUCGCG
rnacentral:sRNA from 1 species